AGGUGAACCUGCGGAAGGAUCAUUAUUGAAUAAACCUGGUGGGUUGUCGCUGGCUCCUUGGAGCAUUGUGCACGCUCACCAUCUUUAUCUGUCCACCUGUGCACUCUUUGUAGUCUUGGGAAAGAGAGGAGGGGCCGCGCUCUGUCAGGUAUAACAUGCCUGGAUGUGAGGACUGUUGUGCACAAGUACAGCUUUACCUCUGCGUGCAUUACCUUUUUCUCCCCCAGGUCUAUGUGGUUUCAUACACCCCUAUAGCAUGUCAUAGAAUGUAUUCAAUGGGCCUAUGUGCCUUUAUAAAACAAUUAUACAACUUUCAGCAACGGAUCUCUUGGCUCUCG
rnacentral:misc_RNA from 1 species